UGGGGAAUUUCGCACAAUGGGGGAAACCCUGAUGCAGCGACGCCGCGUGAUUUAGAAGGCCUUCGGGUUGUAAAAAUCUUUUCUAUGGGAAGAAAAUGACAGUACCAUAGGAAUAAGGACCGGCUAAUUACGUGCCAGCAGCCGCGGUAAUACGUAAGGUCCGAGCGUUGUCCGGAAUCAUUGGGCGUAAAGGGUACGUAGGCGGGUAAGCAAGUUAGAAGUGAAAUCCUAUAGCUCAACUAUAGUAAGCUUUUAAAACUGCUCAUCUUGAGGUAUGGAAGGGAAAGUGGAAUUCCUAGUGUAGCGGUGAAAUGCGCAGAAAUUAGGAGAAAUACCGGUGGCGAAGGCGACUUUCUGGCCAUAACCAGACGCUGUGGUACGAAAGCGUGGGUAGCAAACAGG
rnacentral:rRNA from 1 species